CUUCGAAGCAAGCGCGCUUCUCUCCUAUCCCCCGAGCCGAGAAGUUGCUUACCUCACCGUUCGCCAGAUGACGCAACCUGUCAGAUCAGCAGCUUGGCUCCCGUCUGCAAAAUCUGUGCUCGUAGCCGAAAGCAGUUUCUGCUUCAUUCUACAAAAUGCAGGCAAGUACCGAUGUUUAAAUUCAUCUCAAACAACUUAGACCAGAAUAUGCUCCCCUGUGAGCGAUGUUUGCUCUCGAUUAGACGAGUAGUUUGUGUACAAGAAUUUUUAUAGUCCACCGGCCAAAUACGGAAGACCCUGUAUAUGCGUGCAAGGAGGGACAUCCAGAUUGUUUUUUUUUUUUUUUUAGACGAAAGUUUUUGCUUCAGCGGUAAAAAUGCCAAGUGCGAGGGCCCGUUUAGUGUCUGCAUGUACACGGCCAUCUGCCGGGAGCUCUCAAGGGAUGCGCUGCGUCGCAAUGAAUACGUACUCUGACAGGAUCUGCUAAAUGUUCAUGUCACGCUAAACGCGUGGGCGAUAUUUCGCGACGCCUUUUUCUUAUUCUUAUAUUACUUAUAUUACAAGUGCAGCAUAUUCGUUGGGACUGCACUCGGUGCCUGGUUUUGUUUCUCGAUAUCCACUGACGUACCUGAAUUUCAUAUCAGAAAGAAGAAUGAAACAGGACAGGAGGCCAGGAAGAAGGAAAAGACACUCUACAAAGCUGGCUGAAGCGUGUGCUUCUGUUGACUUGUGCUAUGCAUUGCGUUGGUUAAGUAUUUGGUCAUCUUUUAUUGAUUCCUUUUGUUUAUUUUUUCCUUUUGGAGUUGAGUCGGCUAGUUCUCAUUUUCUUAUUUUAAAUAUUUUGUUCAGAUUACUGAGGCUGUUCUGACCUUCAGAAGACCACCUAAACAGGGCAUGCCUCUUGGAGACCCUCUUUCCUGCACGAUCGUUUACCUCUGAAAUUGUUUCUCUGCUGUGACACAAUUAGCAUUCCCACUAUGCUGGUGCCCUCAGCUGAUGGCUUCAUCCAAUUGAAUAAGCUCCAGGCCUUUUACGAGCAACUCCAUGCCAUGACACCUUGCUUGCAGGGUAUUGCUAAUGUCUGGCAGUUUGGUUGAGAUGUAGUAUAAUGUUCAUUCAGGUCGCCAGACUACACUUGUGCCAUGGACCUUGUAGAGUGUUCAUUCCUUGCCUUCAGUCCCAGUGAGUACUUAUAUUUCACCACACCUUUCAUGCACCAAAGGCCUUGUUCUCGAUGUUGACCCCUAGUUAAGCCCAUCUCAGACACUGGAGAAGCUCUCUGUGACAGCAGCAUUAUGCCGCUGUAGUCGAAUUGCAGACAUUGUGAGGUGCAGGUCCCUACAGAAUUGGUUACUUUGACAUUUUUGGAUGCAUCUUGUCUAGAGGUGGGCAAAUAUAGACUUCUUUGAAUGCAAAUUAAAUAUGAGUAGUAAGUAUAGACUAUGUAAUCAAAUAGUCAAAAGCUGACGCAUGUAUUCACAGCAGGAAUACUUAUCUAGGUAUAAUUAGAUACCAUGCGUCUACUGGCUAGUAUAAAAAAAAAGAAAAAAAGGAAAACAUUGCUAUCCAGGACAACAGGUCAGAUUUAAACACGCAAUCACUAAUUGUCAUAUAAAAAAUGGCACAAAUAGACUCUCCCCAGCUUUAGAGCCUGGUUGCAAGCAAACUUUCCAAGCUAAAAUGGCUGCUGUUUGACCAGCUUUCCAAAAAAAAAAAAAAAAAGGAACUGUUGAAAGACUUUUGUACCGAAGACACUUAUAAAAGGACUCGUUCCAAGGAAAACAUCACAGGUAGCGUGAAACAUAUAACUGCUACAUGACUAGACUGUCAAAGACUAAAUGACAGACUACAAGCGAAAACCACGGGUUGUCACAUAAACUUCCACCGCAAAACUGAAAACAAAGCUUCGUUUACCCGUUUUGUUUCGGCAUUACUUUGAAAACAUUGUCGUUGUCUCACUUUUCAUAAUUUGCAGUACUUUGUUAAGCAGAUGGAGAACAGUAACCAAACUUUAACAUUCGGUUGUUGCAAAAUAUUUAGUUAGUUUCGAAUAUGCGAAAAUACUGAAUAGUUCCUUUUAAAAUACAAAUUCAUAGUUAGUGUGUAAUAUUAAAUUUUUAUUUGAAGCUUCGAAUAUUUGCCCACCUUUAAUCUUGUCCAUCUAAAGUUCAAGCAUGGCACCUUGUUUUCAGGGUUGAGCCACUUGCUUUGUGCCCCCUACUGUGUUGAAAUAGCUGGCAGUUUUGUCACAGUGCUGCUGGUUGCAAAUCCAGUUUGAUCUGUUGUACCUGUGGUGAAGGACACUCUACUAGUGGUUGUAUUGCUCAAAAUGAGAAGUGUUGUCUCUGUCGAGGAUUGCACCCAGCUGUAUCCCGUUCAUGUGCAGCAAAUCCAGGUGUUAGAAAUAAGCAAUGGUGCCUCAGGAGGGACGCUGUUGUGACUGUUGAAAAGAGGGCUCAUGGAUGGGCUGGUCUCUGUGCAAAGCUUCUUUCACAGGUGCGACCAUUUCACCUGCACCCACUGUUGAAAAGGCAAUGGCAAAAGCUAUACAGCACCGAAUCGUCAGCGUCUCUGUAUGUCUAUCUCCCAUAGUAUGCUUACCAAUGGCUCUCCUGCUGCAGGCAACUUGAGAACAUAAAUUUGAAAGAUCCUGGAUAAAUCCUGGAUAAUGCGAAAACAAGCAAUGACAAUAAAGUCAGUGUGCCUUCAUCUGAUGACAGAUAUGAUAGCUAAUUUUUUUAUCAGGUCCAGACCAACUCCACACAUAAGACAUGUAGGACUCAAGAAGUGUUGAGCACGAUGCAUUGACUCUAGGCGAAAAUGUGGUCAGUCUCCCUUGAACAGUGCAUUGUCUUUGUCAUAUCAUUUGAAGUCUAAAAUGUUUCGGUCGAAUAAAAUAUUCAAGGAUUGCAUUAUGGAAAAGGUAGUUUCUACUGAAAUUCUCUCUUUGCUUUAUGGUGUUUAAAAGUGGUGCACUGCAACUGUCAUUCCUUAUUUUCAAGUUUCUACAGAUUUAUCUUGUCUUUCUGUUCAGCUGAUUCAUGAUAUAAUCAUUUAGAUGUAACUUAGCUUGCUCCUAAAAGAAAUUUUUGUUUCAAGAACGUUUGCUUUUUCGUUUAUAUGGUUUUCAGACGUGGUGUACCUGCACUUUUAUCAACUGAAGUUUGCCAUUAGGCAAAGAUAAAGUUGGAGCUUAUGUUACUGCAGUCCAAGAUUCUUGUGAUAGCUCUGUGACAUCUGGGAUAGCUUGUUAUCCAUUCUUAAUCAUAAAUGCCUGUUUUCUUUAAUGUAUUCAGGAUUCACGUCUCCUGGACAGCGUUAUUUUUACUUGCAGAAAUUGGUGUUACUUGCUGGAGAUAUUAAUUUCCCAUCGCUGGGCAUGGUGCUUAAGAAUUGUCUAGAUUCACAACUUCCUACUAUUGUUAGAGGUCAAGCUGCUUUUGUUUUGGAUCUGGUGUUUGCAGGCCCACAUCUCUGCAUGUCCUUUUUGACUAUGCCACCAGCACAGACAAUGUUUGAGUGUUUCUUGAUUAUUAUGCUUAGUAACUUCAUUGGGUAGUCAAGUGGGCACUUGUGUAUGCUACAGUGGAGUUCUAAAUUACCUUAUAUACGCAGUUUGCAUGUGUCUAAAAUCUAAGGUAUUAGGAUUUUGAGACAAAGAUGUUAAGUGUACCCAAAUCUAACACACACCCAUUCUUUUAAUCAGCAAAAAGAAAUGGCGUCUCCCUGAUUCUUGCAAUCAGAAAAAAAUGAAUGCGCAGAAUUAUAUUUUAAGAGAGCAAAAAUGUAUUUAUACUCAAUGUACAGAUUGUCCAGAUUGUCCAAUGUCCAGCGUUGUCCUGUCUGUUUCUACUUCUUGUGCUCGCGUCCGUACUUGCUGGAAACCAUUAUACGUUCACUCAAUGUACAUUCAUCAUCGUUAGUGUCAGCCAGCUUUUUGCCACUGUCAGUGAACCACAACAUGUUCUCUGUGCAUGGCGGCUGCAUUUCAAUGGGGGCGAAAUGUGAAAGACACCCGUCUACUUAGAUUUAGGUGCACAUUAAAGAGCCCCAGGUAGUCCUAAUUUCCGGCACUAUGCGUGCCUCAUAAUUAGGUUGUAGUUUUGGCAUGUAAAACACCAUAAUUAUUCAUUAAUGUUCUCUGUGCUAUCCAUUUCACGACCAUAAUGAGCAUGAUUCUGACCCAUGCCUCAAAUGACUACUGUGCAAGUUCAUCCAGCAAUGCAUGUGUGUCUGCAACUCCAAAAACAUAUGAUGCAGUUUUGUUUCAAUGUGUGCAAUAACUUUUCCUUUAUGAGCUUUGAUAAUGAAGUAAUGCGUCACUGUCAUUUACUUAUGUACAGGGAAACAUUGAAAGGUGUUCUGUUAACUUGCCAUGACAGUGGCAAUGACAUUGGCUGUGAUGGGAGGCUGUUGCCAACACUGCAAACAUUAUUUUGGUUUUUUAUCUAGUUGUGAUGCGCAGACAAUUGUUUGGAUAAUUUUUUUUUUAAAUAUAGGUGUGCGUUAGGAUUGAGUAAAUGUGCUAUUUGCAUUCGUCAUUGGCUUCCCUGUAUGAUGGAAACUCUAAGCAAUGAGCAUUUGUUCAAUCUUUAAUGAUGCCUGUAAAGAAAGCUAAAUGCUUCGUACAACAAUUUAUAAGUGAUUCCUCCUCUUCUUUGUACAACAACAUCUGCUUGCAUGACUACAGACAGAGAAAAGCUGCUUUGGAAAAAUUGCUUCAUAAUCAAACCUCGACAAACUGGAUUGACUAUAAAGUCAUUGCUGCUGCGUUUUGAUGCACUCUGUUUAAAGAAAAGGCUCUUAGGUGCCUGUUCCUGCAGUGAGCGUCGGCGCCGACAGCAUAACCAGGCAAACGAGCACAGCGAAACAUGAAAAAGCAAAUGCGGAGUGCAGUGCGGGAUCAAAGACACAAGGAGAAAAGCAGAGGAGGAGGAUAUAGUGAAAGGGUUCCGACCCCAGUUCGUGCAAAGAGUUGCGGCCAGUGGCCGGACCGUCGUUAACGUGUGGGGCGUAGUUACGAAGGAAGGCCUCGGCCCCCUCGUACGGAUUCAAGGAAAAUUCUGGGCUGAGAGGCACUGCGACAUUUUGAAAGAUGUAGCUUUGCCCUACCUCGCACGUGGCCCGUUUCCUGACAAAGACUACAUGUUUCAGCAUGACCGCUCGCCUGUGCAUACUGCCAAGAAAGUGGAAGCGCUACUACAGCAACACGGCGUGGCUGUCCUCCCCUGGCCACCUCAGUCACCCGACCUUAACGUGAUUGAAAACAUUUGGGGGAUGAUGAAGGUUGCUCUGGCACGCCAGUGUCUGCGCGGACUGUCUGCCGACGGCUUGUGGACUGCAGUGGAGUCCGAAUGGGAGCAGCUGAAGCGCGACAACAUUAAUCGAGGCGUUGUACCGAUCAUUCCCCGCACAAAUGAGCGCAGUCAUCGAAUCUGAAGGCGACGUUACACGCUACUAAGUGGAUGAAGAGCUCGUUAAGUCGCCUUAUUUGUUGUGAAUAAAUUAGAGAAAAGUCCCUCACAACCACGAUUUGCGAAGUAGUGUUAUUUUUUACUUAAAACGCAUUGAAAUAUUCUUGAUAGACGCACUUCACUUUCGAAGGCCUCUCGUUAUCGAAAUUACUACCCCUGUUUAAGGCGGAAAAAUAGAAAAAUAUUUCUUGCACACAGUAGUGAUUAAAAUAAAAUCUCGUUAAUUCGAAAUGUAAGGGAGUGGGAAAAAACGUCCGUAUUAUCCGAAGGUAGGAUUAUUGAAAGGUUCCGAAAAAUUGACGAAAACUGUUCGCGUGAAAGAUAAAUUUAUUUCAUGAAAAACUGCGCAAUGGCCAUUUCCUCUGAGGACAAAAACUGCGCGACAAUGACAAUUUUUUGCAAUUUCUUCGAAUUGUUCAAUUUGUGCACACUAUCCACAGUGUCGGAAGCAGAACUGAUCCAUCGUGGUAAAGGUUUCUGCAGCUACUUUCAGUAUAUGGUAGGUGCUCCAGCAGGAGCUUUUUUGCAAGUGGUUUCGCACUGGAGGCAGCUUUACCGCUCAAACGGCGAAGAGCACGUAGAAAGCCUGGAGUUUCGACUCGUCGGAACUGAAAUGCAGCGCUGAAGGGAAGUACGCAUUGGCUGUGAAGGGACAAGAUGCCUUCGAAAAACUUGAUGAAGAAGGAUCAGUGACCAGGCAAUAAUUGUUCUAAAUGGCUUGCAGCUACACGCUUCACUUGGUGUCCGAUAUGCGCGGGCGGUAGUCGCCGCCGCCGCGUGCUGCAUGACAGCGAUGCUCUGAAAACGAAAUUGUGUGGCCGAAUUCUUUCUCGGCCUAUCAACGGUGGUCUGAAAAUUUGCCAACACACCUGCAACUGCGCGAAAUGAUAGGGACGCAGGAAACAAUGCGUCAUGCAGUUCAGGGCAGAGAACGAAUAUUUGAGCCCACCAGGUUAAUACCUCGGCACGUACCACCAUAGGGAGUCCAUCUAAUAAAGAGAAUCCAGCUGCGGCGUGUCCGAAUAAACGAGUUUUCGAUGCAGUAGACUUGCAUAGGCAUUUGGCGGGACCUCGAAGGCAGUCGGAAUUAUCCGAAUAAACGGCGGUCGAAUUACCAAGGUUUUCGUGUAUUUCUGCGUCAUUAACCUGUCUCGUUGCCUGCAGCUGCACCGUUUGUCGUUCUGGAGUAUGAAUACCGUAACCAUGUCGGCCGUUGAUGUUGGACGACAGAUCAAAUGCAGUAAUAGCCCCGCCGCAGCUAAAGGAGGUGGCUUGCGUGGGUUCAGAACAGAAAGUGGACGAGAACUAGAGAUGUCUUUCCUGCAGAACUAUUGCAUCGCGGAAAAAGUGGCUCACAAGAAUCGGAAAUUUAAAAAAUAUAUUGCAGAAAUGCACGCCCAUUAUGUAGCUGCGAGGAAAAUCUGGUUUUUAUGUUUAGUUCUCCAGUCACGUUCCAGAGUUUCUGCCUGAGCUAGCCAAGCGCCAGAAGAGCGCCGUAGCAGACGAUGCGGGGCUGGCUCCACCUUCCGUGGUUACUGCGCAUGCGCCUGGUGUCGCCAAUUAUCGCCGCUUCUCAAAAGGGGCGCUUCGCGGAGCGUGGCGGCCACGCUGCGCGAGGUUCCCUUUAAAUCAGUGGACCGUACUGUACAUAGAGAAGAGCGACUCGUGGUUAGCAUAUUAUGUUGCUGGUUAUGUCGCACGAAAGUGUGUGUUAAAGACUUAAGUGUGAAGGUUGCAAGCAAACUUUGACAAUGCGAACCAGUGAGGAGGGCUCAGAAGUCACAGACUUCACGCGGCUCAGGGAUAAGGAAGCGCUAUCGUAUCCACGUGGGGCAUUGUUCUGCUUUGUUGAAACACUUGAGAACUUGUUCACAGAAUGCUUUAGCAAAAACAAGCUGCACUCUGAAAGCAUCCUGGAUGUACUGAGUUUGGCAAAGGUCAACUGCACGAACACAAUUGGUUGCAGCGAACGCGCGGCUGAACUAACAAGGAAGGUGGUCAGUUUCUACCUGGCAACUCGGCUGCACUUAUUUGUGAAAGGAGAAUGCAGAGAAGCGAGGUAACAAGGUGACAAUGAAACUCCGAAAGAUGAGUAGGUGCGCCUAAGUUAAAUAUGCAACAUGGGACAGGGGGUGCGGAUUGGCGUUUGGGAUGCUGCUUGGUUUCUGCAAGCUGUUAUGCAAUGUUUCCGCAAGAUGUGUGUGACAAUUAUGUUGUAUUUAUUACUGUAAAUAAAGUGUUUAUACAUGUUCUGCAAAAUG